UACGUAGGGAGCAAGCGUUGUCCGGAAUCAUUGGGCGUAAAGCGCGCGUAGGUGGCCAUGUAAGUCCGCUGUGAAAGUCAAAGGCUCAACCUUUGAAAGCCGGUGGAUACUGCAUGGCUAGAGUACGGAAGAGGCGAGUGGAAUUCCUGGUGUAGCGGUGGAAUGCGCAGAGUAUCAGGAGGAACACCGGUGGCGAAGGCGGGUCUCUGGGCCGAUACUGACGCUGAGGAGCGAAAGCGUGGGGAGCGAACAGG
rnacentral:rRNA from 1 species